GAAUUAUUGGGCGUAAAGAGCUCGUAGGCGGUUUGUCGCGUCUGCCGUGAAAGUCCGGGGCUUAACUCCGGAUCUGCGGUGGGUACGGGCAGACUUGAGUGAUGUAGGGGAGACUGGAAUUCCUGGUGUAGCGGUGAAAUGCGCAGAUAUCAGGAGGAACACCGAUGGCGAAGGCAGGUCUCUGGGCAUUAACUGACGCUGAGGAGCGAAAGCAUGGGGAGCGAACAGGAUUAGAUACCCUGGUAGUCCAUGCCGUAAACGUUGGGCACUAGGUGUGGGGGACAUUCCACGUUUUCCGCGCCGUAGCUAACGCAUUAAGUGCCCCGCCUGGGGAGUACGGCCGCAAGGCUAAAACUCAAAGGAAUUGACGGGGGCCCGCACAAGCGGCGGAGCAUGCGGAUUAAUUCGAUGCAACGCGAAGAACCUUACCAAGGCUUGACAUGAACCGGAACGGCGCAGAGAUGUGUCGGCCACUUGUGGCCGGUUUACAGGUGGUGCAUGGUUGUCGUCAGCUCGUGUCGUGAGAUGUUGGGUUAAGUCCCGCAACGAGCGCAACCCUCGUUCCAUGUUGCCAGCGGGUUAUGCCGGGGACUCAUGGGAGACUGCCGGGGUCAACUCGGAGGAAGGUGGGGACGACGUCAAAUCAUCAUGCCCCUUAUGUCUUGGGCUUCACGCAUGCUACAAUGGCCGGUACAAAGGGUUGCGAUGCUGUGAGGUGGAGCUAAUCCCAAAAAGCCGGUCUCAGUUCGGAUUGAGGUCUGCAACUCGACCUCAUGAAGUCGGAGUCGCUAGUAA
rnacentral:rRNA from 1 species